rnacentral:rRNA from 2 species
CAUUCACGGAGAGUUUGAUCCUGGCUCAGGACGAACGCUGGCGGCGUGCUUAACACAUGCAAGUCGAACGAUGAAC